AUGGUUGAGCAUGGACAGAUAUUUUGGGUUUCGGUACUUCAGAUUGGAGGACCCAGCAGAGAGAGUUUUUUGGCGAUCUGCCUUAAAGUAGUACUCUUUCAUGGCUGCAGACUCGAGCUGCUUCAAAACAGGGCAGUACGAAGAGUUCAACCAUUUGAAGUCAUCCACAUUUUCAACAUGGAUUGUGGCAUCCCCAGGUGGAUUCAACAAGAACCACAUGUUCAUUGCCCCAAAGUUCAGUUUGUCAGUAACAAGAUGAAAGACAUGCUUCUCAGGCUCCUGCAGUUUUUUAAGCAAGAAAAUCAGGAGCUGCUACUGAAUUGGAUCACAUACAUCAUUACGAAGAAACUGAAUUUCCAAAUCAAAGUCCGGACUGCACUAACCUUUGCGUUCACGAUGGUUGAGUUAACCACAACUGAUGCUGCCAGAACAUUGUCCGAAAAAAGAGCAUAG
rnacentral:rRNA from 1 species